GCUUUCUUUGCUGGCGACCGGCGCACGGGUGAGUAACACGUAUCCAACCUGCCCUUUACUCGGGGGUAGCCUUUCGAAAGAAAGAUUAAUACCCGAUAGCAUAAUGAUUCCGCAUGGUUUCAUUAUUAAAGGAUUCCGGUAAAGGAUGGGGAUGCGUUCCAUUAGGUUGUUGGUGAGGUAACGGCCCACCAAGCCUUCGAUGGAUAGGGGUUCUGAGAGGAAGGUCCCCCACAUUGGAACUGAGACACGGUCCAA
rnacentral:rRNA from 1 species